UGUGAGUAGUAGAGUUUGAUCCUGGCUCAGAACGAACGUUAGCGGCGCGCCUAACACAUGCAAGUCGCACGAGAAAGGGCUUCGGCCCCGGUACAGUGGCGCACGGGUGAGUAACACGUAGAUCAUCUUCCCUCGAGUGGUGGAUAACUCUCCGAAAGGAGAGCUAAUACAGCAUAAGACCACGGCUUCGUUGAAGCUGCGGCCAAAGCAGGCCUCUACACGUAAGCUUGCGCUUGAGGAUGAGUCUGCGGCCCAUCAGCUAGUUGGGUAGGUCAUGCNCAGCAGCUAAGACGGGUAGCUGGUCUGAGAGGAUGAACAGCCACACUGGAACUGAGACACGGUCCAGACUCCUACGGGAGGCAGCAGUGGGGAAUCUUGCGCAAUGGGCGAAAGCCUGACGCAGCGACGCCGCGUGAGCGAUGAAGGCCUUCGGGUUGUAAAGCUCUGUGGGGAGGAAAGAAUAAGGUUUGGCUAACAUCCAAACCGAUGACGGUACCUCCUUAGCAAGCACCGGCUAACUCUGUGGCCAGGCCGGCCGCGGUAAU
rnacentral:rRNA from 1 species